rnacentral:lncRNA from 1 species
AGUUACCUGACAUCCGGAGCCUUGGCAAAUUCACUCUCUUUCACAGAGUUUCAAGCCAGGUUUGAUGGGAGAUCCCCCCGUCCACACACUGUGCAGGACACCGGAAGUAGAGGUCUGCCAUCCUGCUUAUUCCCGUCCUCAGUGCCCAGAACUGAGCAGGUCACCAACCUACAGUGCCUACCCCUACCCUUCUUCCAGCGAGUGUGUCCCA